CCUACGGGUGGCAGCAGUGAGGAAUAUUGGUCAAUGGACGAGAGUCUGAACCAGCCAAGUAGCGUGAAGGAUGACUGCCCUAUGGGUUGUAAACUUCUUUUAUAUGGGAAUAAACUGUUCCACGUGUGGGCUUUUGUAUGUACCAUAUGAAUAAGGAUCGGCUAACUCCGUUCCAGCAGCCGCGGUAAUACGGAGGAUCCGAGCGUUAUCCGGAUUUAUUGGGUUUAAAGGGAGCGUAGGUGGAUUGUUAAGUCAGUUGUGAAAGUUUGCGGCUCAACCGUAAAAUUGCAGUUGAAACUGGCAGUCUUGAGUACAGUAGAGGUAGGCGGAAUUCGUGGUGUAGCGGUGAAAUGCUUAGAUAUCACGAAGAACUCCGAUUGCGAAGGCAGCUCACUGGACUGCAACUGACGCUGAGGCUCGAAAGUGUGGGUAUCAAACAGGAUUAGAUACCCCAGUAGUC
rnacentral:rRNA from 1 species